AAGGGGGACAGAGACAAAGAGGAGGGUGGAGAUAGUCAAAAGGAGAAUGAAUCAAACGGCUUAAUAGCUAUGAGAAGGACUAUUAAGCUAAAAAGCAAGAAGAAAGAAGGAAGGC